rnacentral:lncRNA from 1 species
UAUAUUGACAGUAUUUUUAUUUCAGAAACAAAGGUAACGAAUCAAACGUUUACUCAAAACAUGACGAAAUAUGAACACCUCUGUACACUGACUGAAGGUAAAACAAUAUUAUAUAUUAACUAAUGACAUACUGAUUAAUUAUUAUACAAGCACUACAAUUUUACAUACUGCUUUGCUAUAUAAAACUAAGUAGAUGAGGGAAGGUUGACAAUAAGAAAACUAUCUAUUUAAGUUCAAAAAUUGGAUGUAACCAAUUGUAGGUAAAGGUACGGCCUUCAGUAAUAAAAAAAAGCCCUGUAUAUUCAUCCAGUAUAUUCAUGACACUCAUAGGGAUUGGAAACUCAUAACUUUUGAUACAUCGUUGUUUAAUGGUAUUUUAAAGAGUAAAAGGUUGAUUAACCAAGAGGAUCUGUAACCCUCUGUUGUAAACUAAUGCUCAGAUCUUAUUAACUUUAAAAAAAAAAUCAUUCCAUGAUAAAGAUCGAAUUCACAUUUAUAAGCAAACAAAACUAUUCAAAAACUAUUUCAACAUUAACAAUAUCUAGAAUGAAGUGUGCAAAUGGUAAUUUUAUUAUGAAACAUUAAUGACGUUCAUCAAAUACAGUGUAUAUCCAAAUGAAUUGAUAGAACAAUAUCAAUAUACUUCAUGUUGCCAUUUUGUUUGUAACAUGUUGAUUUGUCAUUUCAGCAGAUUACUGCUAGUAUGUUAUUUCUAUAUUUUCAAGCAUAAUGUAAAGAUUACUUAUUAUAAUAAGCAUGAUUAAUAUCGAUGGAAAAUAUAGUAACCCCAUUACAUGUUUAAGUACCUUCAAACAACACGUGUCGUCAGUACAGUCUGCAAGGUAUUGUCAAAUGUUCCUAACAUUCAUGACUCGAGGUCAUUUGAGACUAACAAUUUACCGAUUUAUUAUGUCACGACAGAACUAUUUUGAAUAUAUUCUUAUCAAUUCAAAAGCGAAAGAAAAAUGUUCCAGCUGUUUCGUUUUCUUUUUUUUUUUUUUUUCUUAGAUCUAAGUUAUUUCAGUAGAUCGUAAACCUUAAGUUUACCUAUAUGUGUUUUCCUUUUGCAGGUGAAUACUAUACUACAGCAUUCUGAACAAUAAUGCACAGACUGAAAGAAUCGACAAUCUGAACACGUUCCAAAACUUUACCCAGUGUUUUAACGUAUGCAUACGUUAUAGAAUUAUACAGGCAUGGAAUUGUAAACAAAAAAACCAAAUAGAUCAAUUCAUUUUGUGAAGGAUUUUUACAACAAUCUUCAUACAUAAAUAAGAGAAAACUGUAAUCCCCGAUGUUCAAAUCGCAUAUAUCUAUACAGAAGAUACAAUCCAAGUUGAAAAACAAAAAAUGAGGCAAUCGAAAAGAAAGAAGCGAAACCAGGUACGUUGACCGGAGAUACAUCUCCUGGUAUGUAUGCAUAGUCUGCCGAUAGAAUAAACACUCAGAAGAAAUGUUACAAUUGGGAAUAGGACCUUAUCGAACGGUGAAUCUACAAAGUAUUCAAAUUUUCGUUAACAAAACAUCCUAGACCCCCAAAAAAACACGCUUGUGAUUCAGACAUAGAAACCGUAUCAGUCAUUCACUUCAUGCUAUCAGUUGAAGUUCAGAAGGAAAAAAUAUUGUAAAAUAAUUUAAUUAUCUGAUUGACCGACCACUUAUAAUUUAAGUGAGUAACAGUAGACUUUUUCAUAUUUUGUUCAAAGUUUAAUCACAAAGCAAACAAAACGCAUAUUAAGUAAUACCAGCAUAGAUGGAAUAUGAUAGCUCUAAAUAAUAAACAAAAUGCAAAAUGUAUGCAUGGACAGGAUUUCAACCAAGUUGAUGUAUGUGAUUAAAAUAAAACACUACAUCAGAUGUAUAAUGUUGAUGUAUGUUUUUAAGCAUGAUGUCCUCUUGUAGAUCUCUACUGUUGUUUCUGUUGUUGUGUUUAGGGGGAUAUUUGGUCAGCAUCACUUGACUUUGUAAUUUUAAUUUUCCUUAUUUAUCUGCUACAUGUUAUUCUCACUGACAGGUUUUUUCUUCUGAAUUUACCAAACCAGUUAGAACUAAGUACAAACACACUCAUUAUUUUAAUAUGAUGUUUAAAACAUGUCUGAUAAUCCUGCCUGGCAACCAACAAUAUCGCCAAAGCAAGUAUUGUUUGUUUUCCUUACAACCAUUUUAGACAGAGAAAUCAUGAUCGGAACAGAAACGAUCAGAAUAUCGAUAUCUAUGCGUGUAUAUCAGAAUUGUCAUAUGACUAUUUUCCGCUGUUUACCUUAAAUUAAAAUUUUUGCAAUUUUGUGAUGUUUGCAAUUAUCUUGAAAAUAAUUUAAAAUUGGGAGAAACUUUAAAAUUAACUAGCUGCUAUAAAGGGUUUUGCCUCUAAACUUGAUCUUUCGUGCAUAUAAAUUUUUAACUUGUAUUACGUUUUUCAGUUUCUCAUGAGUUCAGCCAUAUGAUUAGUGAUCAGUUUUAAGGUUUAUCGUUUCUCUGCAUAGUGUAAAGGUUUAUUCCAAUCACAUGGUAACAUGUAUUUGGAAGCAUAACUGAUUGAUCCAUUUGAUUAAAUCCAAUAACAAAUGUCCUUCUUUGAUAAGUGUUUUGAACUCUCGGCAAUAAGGCAGUGGUUGUUAGGCAGGUGUUGAGAUUGCUUACUUGCAACAACUUUAUAUCAUCAAGCUACAGACCAUGUAUGAAAUUAUAUACGUCAAAAGAAGCUAGGAAAAAUUUGACAAAAUCUGUCUUGAACAAUGAAUAAUGUAAUAUUUCAAUCUAUCGGAAAAAAGAAAGUGGCUACAGAGAAAGUGGCUGCAAAGCAGAUAUGAAAAUUGCUAGCAGGCUAUAACUCAAUAAUGAUUCCCGUUCCUAAAUCAAGAAAACUGUGACGAAAAGUUACUCACAAGAUUUUCUGAACAGAGAAAGGUUUCUAGCGGUAUCAGAACUGGUAAUUCAUAUGUGAUACGUUUGUAAUAGGUAACAGAGAAAUGAAGUGAUUAAAUAUGUGUGCUUUAUUGUAUUAAGUCCUUUUCAUAAUUCAAG